GGUAGAAAGAACCAACAGGGAUUGCCCUAGUAACGGCGAGUGAAGCGGCAACAGCUCAAAUUUGAAAUCUGGCCCUUGGGUCCGAAUUGUAAUUUGUAGAGGAUGAUUUUGGUGCGGUACCUUCCGAGUUCCUUGGAACAGGACGCCUUAGAGGGUGAGAGCCCCGUACGGUUGGAUGCCUAGCCUUUGUAAAUCUCCUUCGACGAGUCGAGUAGUUUGGGAAUGCUGCUCUAAAUGGGAGGUAAAUUUCUUCUAAAGCUAAAUACUGGCCAGAGACCGAUAGCGCACAAGUAGAGUGAUCGAAAGAUGAAAAGCACUUUGAAAAGAGGGUUAAAUAGCACGUGAAAUUGUUGAAAGGGAAGGAUUUAUGACCAGACUUUUUCUGGGCGGAUCAUCCGGUGUUCUCACCGGUGCACUUCGCCCAGUUUAGGCCAGCAUCGGUUUUCGGUGGGGGAUAAAAGCUUUAGGAAUGUGGCUCUUUCGGGAGUGUUAUAGCCUAUUGUAUAAUACCCUACUGGGGACCGAGGUACGCGCUUCUGCAAGGAUGCUGGCGUAAUGGUUAUCAAUCACCCGUCUUGAAACACGGACCAAGGAGUCGAACAUUUGUGCAAGUGUUUGGGUGUUAAACCCUCACGCGUAAUGAAAGUGAACGGAGGUGAGAGCCCUUACGGGUGCAUCAUCGACCGAUCCUGAUGUUUUCGGAUGGAUUUGAGUAAGAGCAUAACUGUUCGGACCCGAAAGAUGGUGAACUAUGCGUGGAUAGGGUGAAGCCAGAGGAAACUCUGGUGGAGGCUCGCAGCGGUUCUGACGUGCAAAUCGAUCGUCAAAUCUGCGCAUGGGGGCGAAAGACUAAUCGAACCAUCUAGUAGCUGGUUACCGCCGAAGUCCCCCUCAGGAUAACC
rnacentral:rRNA from 1 species